UUUUAUACAAGUUACCGUGAGGGAAAGUUGCAAAGAACUUUGAAGAGAGAGUUCAAGAGUGCGUGAAACCACUGGAAUGGAAACGGAUAGAGUUGACGAAACUGAGCAAUAUUCAGCUGUCCUUUCGGGGGCAGUGCACUUAUUGUUCGUAUGCGCUGAGUCUGUUGGGUGUGUGCUUCGAACUCUUGAGCGUUGCCUGCUUGCAGUGUCUUGCUCUUGGGGAAGGGGUAUUGUGCCUAGCGUGAUUCGGUGUGAAAGUUGAUCACCUAUCCGACCCGUCUUGAAACACGGACCAAGGAGUCUAGCGUAUGCGCGAGUCAUUGGGUGGAAAACCUAAAGGCGUAAUGAAAGUGAAGGUCGGCUUACGAUCGGCUGAUAUGGGAUCCGUGCAUUCGUGUGCGGCGCACCAUAGCCCCGUCUCGAUGGCUUGCCAUGGGGCGGAGGUAGAGCGUAUACGCUAGGACCCGAAAGAUGGUGAACUAUACGUGAGCAGGACGAAGCCGGAGGAAACUCUGGUGGAGGUCCGUAACGAUUCUGACGUGCAAAUCGAUCGUCUGACUGGCGUAUAGGGGCGAAAGACUAAUCGAACCAUCUAGUAGCUGGUGUCCUUUCCGAAA
rnacentral:rRNA from 1 species